CAGCUUCUUCUUUCCUGCGGACGGCCGAGGCCAGGAGAACAGGAGAAGGACGAUGAGAGAAACCCGGAGGAGCAUCGCAUGAUUCCGGGCAGAGCGAGCUACCCGAGGGGGAUUUCUGCAAAGUGCCAGCAUGGUUCAAGGAUGAAGCCGGCGUGGCAGCUGUAAUGGAGCACCGUCCCCUCCACUGGAGGUCCAGGCGGCUUCACCGACACCCGGCCGUUUUCCAGAGAGGUCCACACGCGUGGACACAGCAGCACUAAGAAAAGAAAGGUUUGAAGCUGCAUCCACUCGAUCUGUCCCUGUUGCACCACCACUGCACGCUGCAACCUCCUGCUUGACUCUGGUGUCAGACUCAGCUCCGACAGGAGGACUUCGCCCGCUGCACGCAGUGGGGCGGCAUC